rnacentral:misc_RNA from 1 species
CAUAGGGGCACACAUGCACACACAUACACAUACGAGCACGCAUACCUUCAUUGCCGCAUGCGGAGCAGACAUAAGAGAACAAGCAGCGGAAUCUACUUGGUGAAGAAUGGUCGCAUGCCUGUGUAUCUUUUCUUUGUUCUCUCGCUUGUAUUAUGUGGAAUAUAGUAUCUCUUGAUGUUUGUGUACCUCUCUUCCUCUCCCUCCAUAUCAAUGUAGGCCCGUCAGAUUUUUGGGGGGUUUCUCUUUUUUUUUUCGGCAUGUGUGACAUCGCCACUGUCAUUGCGGUCGAAGCGCUACCUGUACAUUUGCGUGCCCUGCUUUCCCUCGACCGCUUGUUUCCCCACCUCCCCUCCCCUCUCUCCUCUCUUCUGUGAAUGUGUGUGUGAGUGUCAUUUAUUUUUUAUUGUCGCUUGCUUUGCUGUGCCUGCCAAGCACACUCCAUCUCCCCUUUUUUUCGUAAACUUGGUUUGUUUGCUGCCACGUAACCACCCACUCUCACUCUCCCUCUCCCUCCCUCUCUUAGCCUUCUAUGUGCGUGCAUGUCUCUUUUCGCUUCCUCUCUGUUCCCUCGCGUCGUAUUUUUCCUUCUUUGCUGUCUCGUUGCUCUUCUGCUCUGUUGUCGUUUUCCGUUCGCUUGUAGUCUUCCUCUCCCUCCCUCAUCCUCAUCCCAUCAACUCCGCCCUCCUCUCCUGCCCCUUCUCUUCCCAGAAGGAACGGUAUGGUCAUACUCGCCCCUACGCAUCAUCCCUUUUACACAUACACGCAAACACUGCGCACUUCACCUUACAUCUUAUCCACCCACCCCGCGCCCUUCUCCCCCUUUCCUUUCGUCUUCAUGUCCUCCGCACCCCACCCUCGCCUCCAUCACCGCCAGACCACACCAUCCCUUUGCUCUGCUUGCUCUUGGCAGAGAUGGAGAAGACGAGCAGACGGUGACGUGAAGCGAGAGGGGUAGGAUGGAGUGCGGGCAGCGGAACACUGCACACGAAGUGUUCCGCUUCUGGAUACAACUUGCGUGUGUGCUUCGUGCAAGAAUCACCUCGGUGCCGAGGAGCCUGAAGAAGAGCAAAAGAGGGCGAGGAGGCGCAGUGAAAGGAACGUAAAUGGAGGGCGGCGAUAAGGAAACAGACAAGCAUGCAAGCAAAACAACAGCCAACGCGCACACACACACACACAUAUAUAUAUAUAUAUAUGUGUGUGUGUGUGUAUGUUUCUGGCCAUGUACUUUCAACAUAAGGGGGGAGGGAGGGACAUAGACACAUCCGUGGGAGGCUGAAUAAGAAAGACGGGAAAAAAAAGAGUAGAGAGACUUGGUUAGAAAAUCUGUGUUACACGAAAACACAAACACACGCUCCCUGUGAGGUCGGCCUUUUUAUUUUCGAUUGUGUGUGCGUGUGUUCCCUUCUUUCGUUUUUCCUUCAUCAGCUGACACUAGCACCACACCGCCUUUUCUCGUUCUCCGUGCACCCUGCCUCUGCGGUAUCGCUUUUCCUUUGGGGUAUUCUUUUAUUAUUAUUUGGAUUACGCAAUUGCCUCCCGCUGCGUUGACUGGUUACCAGCUCGCUCGUUGUCAGUCAAAUGCGGUGCUCGAUGCCUUCCUAUUUCUCCCUCCAUCCCUCCUCCUUUGAAACUUCAGUCGACAGCCCCUCCCCUCCCCCUCCCCCUCCCCCACACACUAUCCUCUCUCACAAAAUCGAUCCGGUCCUGUAGAUUGAAUAACGACUCUAUAUGUGUUUUAGUGUUUCAUCGUUUGUUUUUUUUUACUUAGCAGGCUCCUUCGGGGAGCAGCAUCUCGGAGAGGGAUGGGAAGACGAGAGAGGCACACACGGAUACACACAUACCAGUGUGCAGCUGUAAGACCACUAAACGCAAGUAAAAACUAACGAGAAGUACGAUUGCUGGGUACCUUUCAAAGAAUACGUGGGCGUGAGGAGGGAAGAUAGAGGUGUGUGCUUCCUUGGUAGUGUUUCUGUAUGUGUCAGCAGAUAACUUGCCUAGUAAAGAGCCUCCGGACACCCCUUCCUCACUUCCGUGUUCUUUACACGGUGUUACGGCUGCAUGUUGCACAGUAGUGAGGAUGCCCGUGUGAACGGUGUUCUGCUACGGGCCGUAACUCUCCUGCUGUGUACGCACCAUCUCCCUCCUUGUUGUGGCUAAGUUGCCCCGACUCGCGUCGUCGCGUCUUCGAGUUGGUCACUCACUCUCCAUCUCUACAUUGCUUUCUGCAUCCUCCUUCCCCUCCCCGUCCCCAUAUCAUCAUCCCGCCCUACAUGCGUGUGAUUUAGAGGGCGAAAGGGGCGGAAAGUGGGAGAGAGAGCGAUUAGCUGGGCGCUUGCACGCAUCAAUGUACGGUCUAAGACCUCUUUUACCUGCUAUUCUUCAAAACGGAAACCCUCCCCCCGCGGACGAGCCUCGACAAAUGAAAAAAAAAAGUUUGGCCUUUCUCACACUCGGUAUGUGUGUGUGUGUGCGUGUGUGUGUUUUUGUGCGCGCUUCAAGCGACUUUCUGCUCCCUCUUCGCUUCGUUCCUACGGUUCCACCGCUGAUGUAACGGGUGGGCCGAGGCCGAAGAAUAGUAAGAAAAGGCACGCCGUUCGCAUUGGUCGCGCUUUCUCACCCUCUGACGGUCUAUAUGGUCCUCUUCAUAUCAGCCAGCAAAAUAUUCGCCGAUCCUCUUUUUUUCUGUCUUUUGCCUUCAUUGAUUACACGAAUGAGACCAUCCGGUCAG